AACGCGAAGAACCUUACCAGGGCUUGACAUCCCUUGCUCGCUAUGGAAACAUAGUUUUCCGUCCUUCGGGCCGGACGAGGAGACAGGUGGUGCAUGGUUGUCGUCAGCUCGUGUCGUGAGAUGUUGGGUUAAGUCCCGCAACGAGCGCAACCCCUACGUUUAGUUGCCAUCAUUAAGUUGGGCACUCUAGAGGAACUGCCGGUGACAAACCGGAGGAAGGUGGGGAUGACGUCAAAUCAUCAUGCCCCUUAUGUCCUGGGCUACACACGUGCUACAAUGGGCGGUACAGAGGGCAGCGAAGCCGUGAGGUGGAGCGAAUCCCAAAAAGCCGUUCUCAGUUCGGAUUGUAGUCUGCAACUCGACUACAUGAAGUCGGAAUCGCUAGUAAUCGCGAGUCAGCAUAUCGCGGUGAAUACGUUCCCGGGUCUUGUACACACCG
rnacentral:rRNA from 1 species